UUCUGAUGCAGCCAGUGGUCAUGUUAGAAGCCUGCCUACACUAUGACCACUAUGCUAUGAGGAUGCCCAUGCUAGCCACAUAGAGGUGCUGCAUAAAGUAACUGAUGUCUGACCAGCCCCAGCUGAUCCAGCCAUCCUAGUCCAGGCACCAGACAUAUCAUCAGUAAGUGCGAUUCUGUGGGCUCACUACAGCCCAGAGGAGCCAUGUAGCUCAAGAUGAAGAUUUCCAUAAGGUGAUGCAAAUUAGAACCCUUCUGCAGAGGUGUCUGAAAAGAGCCAAUCACCUGGAGAAAUGCUCGGAAACUGCUUGAAGAAAGGAAAGUUCGGUGAGAAGAAGGAAGUAUUUUAGUCUUUGGCUAAAAUGAAGUUGCUACUGUUGUUUCUGAAGAUGUUGUUUUAACAGCAUUGGGUUCUGAGCCGUGGUCACAGAGAGCAAAGCGCUGGGUCUGUUGCUUUUAUCACUCAGCACAUUUAGCACUAAAAAAGAAAUGUUCCCUUCUUCCACUCUGUCUGGUUUUAAGAUCCCACCUGAUUUUCCUUUGCAUCGCUACUAAUUUAUCUCCUCGCUGCAAGGGUGUAGGUCUGUCUGCUGCGCCUCAAAUGCAAGUAACCCCAGGAAGUAAGAGACACCCUCAAAUAACAGAUGAGGAAAUAGAGAAACUGUCCAAGGUCACAAAGUUAGUGGUGAAGAGACCACAACUCAGAGAGGCUAAAUGACAUGUCCAAGGUCACAUAGCUCUUAAAUACCUGAGUGGAGCCUAAGCCAAAAUGAGCGAAACUAGGGAUGCGUGAGGAUUAGGAUCAAUAGCGGAUCGACUGUGCACCCUCCUGCAAACCUUGCAAGCCCCUCCAAGAAGAAUUUGAGCUAAUCAUUUGGAGAAGAGAAACAAUAAUGACAACAGUUCUCAAAUAGGAUUGCAGUCAUGGGUUGUACAAUUCUAUACCUUUACUAAAACUCGCUGAAUCAUA